GAACAAAUAGUUCUAAUUCCGUAUAAUACUGGUUUUCAUUGGAUGUUGCAUGUCAUCGAUCUUCGAGAGAACUGUGUUUAUGUUUUGGACUCUCUUCAAAGUAAAGUUAACGAAGACAUCCAUGGAGUCA